GGAUGAGAGGGAAGAAGGAGCACCGAGGGUCCACCGAACAUCAGCUCACACUUUCAGACUCUGCUGCUUGUCUCGCGUUACUUCACCAAUCGAUCUGCGUUUCCCUGCAGAGGGGAGCUGACACCACUGGUUCAGCGAGGCUGUACUCCGGGCUACAAAUCUCGCUGGCGUGAACAGAUGGAGCAUCAAUUUGAUCCCAUCCUCGACACCGUGAAAGAUUGAUUUUGCACUUGCUUUUAAUUUUGCCCAUAAUUAAUUGGAUCAUUACAACUGUUUUUUCAUCGAUCCCCGCGUUGGAAACUGUAAAACUAA